rnacentral:rRNA from 1 species
AAUCAACGCUGGCGGCGUGCCUAACACAUGCAAGUCGAACGAGAAAGUGAAGCUUGCUUCACGAGUAUAGUGGCAGACGGGUGAGUAACACGUGAACAACCUACCCUUGAGUGGGGAAUAACACAGCGAAAGUUGUGCUAAUACCGCAUAACAUCCCGAAAUCGCAUGAUUUUGAGAUCAAAAGCGAAAGUUGCUUGGGGAGGGGUUCGCGCCUGAUUAGCUAGUUGGUGAGGUAACGGCUCACCAAGGCAACGAUCAGUAGCCGGCCUGAGAGGGUGAACGGCCACACUGGAACGGAGACACGGUCCAGACUCCUACGGGAGGCAGCAGUGGGGAAUUUUGCGCAAUGGGCGAAAGCCUGACGCAGCAACGCCGCGUGGAGGAUGAAGGCCUACGGGUCGUAAACUCCUGUCAGUGGGGAAGAAUGCUUCGCAAGAAGUUUGACUGUACCCGCUGAGGAAGCCACGGCUAACUCCGUGCCAGC